UGCGCAGGCGGCCUGUUAAGUCAGGGGUGAAAUAUGACGGCUCAACCGUCAAACUGCCCCUGAAACUGACAGGCUUGAGUCCGGGAGAGGUAGGUGGAAUUCCAGGUGUAGCGGUGAAAUGCGUAAAUAUCUGGAGGAACACCAGUGGCGAAGGCGGCCUACUGGCCCGGAACUGACGCUCAGGCACGAAAGCAUGGGGAGCGAACAGGAUUAGAUACCCUGGUAGUCC
rnacentral:rRNA from 1 species